rnacentral:rRNA from 1 species
UACGGGGGGGGCAAGCGUUGUUCGGAAUUACUGGGCGUAAAGGGCUCGUAGGCGGCCAACUAAGUCAGACGUGAAAUCCCUCGGCUUAACCGGGGAACUGCGUCUGAUACUGGAUGGCUUGAGUUUGGGAGAGGGAUGCGGAAUUCCAGGUGUAGCGGUGAAAUGCGUAGAUAUUAGGUGGAACACCGGUGGCGAAGGCGGGCACCUGGGCCAACAUCGACACUUAGACUCGAAAGCGUGGGGAUCAAACAGG